ACACACACACACACACACACACACACACACACACACACACACACACACACACACACACAACCUGGCCGUGCAGGCUGGUAGACAUGCCCCACUCCAACCCUUUCUCCCCUCCUCGCUGUCAAUCCGCCCUGACAAGCCCCACAGGCUACCCAUGCCUUGUACAGACACGUGAACGUGCCACGCAGGCUGAUAGACAUGCCCCACUCCAACCCUUUCUCCCCUCCUCGCUGCUAAUUCGCCCUCACAGGCCCCCACAGGCUACCCAUGCCCUGUACAGACACACGAACGUGCCGCGCAGACUGGUAGACAUGCCCCCCUCCAUCCCGCCUCCCCCCCUCGCUGUCAAUCCGCCCUGACAAGCCCCCACAGGCUACCCAUGCCUUGUACAGACACACGAACGUGCCGCGCAGACUGGUAGACAUGCCCCCCUCCAUCCCCCCUCCCCCCCUCGCUGUCAAUCCGCCCUGACAAGCCCCCACAGGCUACCCAUGCCUUGUACAGAUACACGAACGUACCGCGCAGGCUGAUAGACAUGCCCCCCUCCAACCCUUUCUCCCCUCCUCACUGCUAAUUCGCCCUCACAGGCCCCCACAGGCUACCCAUGCCUUGUACAGACACACGAAAGAACCGUGUAGAC
rnacentral:lncRNA from 1 species